rnacentral:rRNA from 1 species
GAUGAACGCUGGCGGCGUGCUUAACACAUGCAAGUCGAACGAAGCGAUCGGGAAGAAAUUUUCGGAUGGAAUCCGGAUUGACUGAGUGGCGGACGGGUGAGUAACGCGUGGGUAACCUGCCUCAUACAGGGGGAUAACAGUUAGAAAUGACUGCUAAUACCGCAUAAGCGCACGGGGAUGCAUAUUCUUGUGUGAAAAACUCCGGUGGUAUGAGAUGGACCCGCGUCUGAUUAGCUAGUUGGUGAGGUAACGGCUCACCAAGGCGACGAUCAGUAGCCGACCUGAGAGGGUGACCGGCCACAUUGGGACUGAGACACGGCCCAA